AUUUUCUCUUCGAAGAUGAUUCGUUGAUCAUUUCAAUUCAGUUCGUUGGUGUGUGGUGUGGUUCGUUUUGUGGUUUACCUUAUUCUUCGCAGAAAUGAUUUUCGAAGCACGAAUCUAAUUCUAAUAUCCGAUGAUGUGGACGUAGGACGAAAACGAGCUAAAAAAAUCAACUAAAGUACCUCCUAUAUGGUUGUCGUUUACAGAAAGAAAGCUCAAAAAUACUUACUUUGAAUGAUCAAACCCAGCAAUAGUUGAGUUAUCUAACAUUGUUUGGCAACGCCGAAUCGAAAGUCGCAAAAUUAUCGAUGAUAAAACAUUACAAAAAUACCAUCUACAGUCGUACAACUAUCCAUGAGGUUGUCAACGUGUGAAGUCGUUCAUGGAAUCAAUCUUGCGAUUCCUGUCAGCAGAAAUACUCUAAACUCGUAUUUUUCAACAUUUACAGCGAAAGAGUAUAUCGAAUGUUGUAGCACUGAUCGGCUGGAAUCUACUUUUGGUGUGUUAUUGGCCAUUCUGGUAGAAUGUAAAAACACAAACAGAGAAAUUGGAUGAAUUUUUAAUGAAUUUUGCUACAUCUAUAAUUAAUAAUCAAAAUACGCAUACUCGUCAUUUUUCGGUACCUAUAGAGAAGAAUAUGAAAUGCAAGAUUUCUAAACACUAACAAAGAACGGUGUUACUCGUACGAAAGCAGAUCAGAAAUAUUUAACCAACUAUAAAAAUGCAGCUUUGCCUACCCGACAAUCCAGCAGAAAAAGAUAGAUACCUAGGAAAUGUGCAAGCAAGGGUUAUUCUUAUUCUUCAGUUUUUUCCAAUCUCUCAUCAUUUUCACCACUAUUGUUCAGCUUCUCUCUAAAAAGAUGAAUGUUUCGAACGAAUCGUCGACAACAAUAAUGAAAACCUACAGUCUAUACUCGAUGGGGCGCGAAUAACGUGAUUUGACAUCGAUAGUCCAAGCCGAGUUAUUUCGCUUUUCCUUCUUUUGUCACCUUCAAAUAAUUCAAUUUUUGCGAAUCAUGUUCAAAUUCAUACAGCAGUAAGUUGCAGAUCAAGACGUGAUAAAUCGUACAAAAAUGCUGGAAGAAUUAAAAAAGGAGAAGACAUGGAGGAGAUAUUUAGGAGGCAUGUCAAAGGCAUUACUAAGAAUCACAGAUAUAAUCUAAAUUUUCGCCGGGAUAAUAUAUCUUACGGAUGAAUUCUUUAACCGCUGAAUAUGCUAAAGAAAAUAUUCAACUACUCAACGAAUCAAUCGUCUUUUCCUUUCGUCGAUCCAUUAAAAUGAACUCGUAUAUAAGUUAGCUAAUCAAUUUUCGCUGGAUCAAUGACAUCAUUGUAGGAACAAAGAAUCCAGGACCAACUGUUUAAUGCAACGAUCUAUAGGUAUAUUAUAGUAUUCUGUGAUGCACAUCGAAUUUAUUCUCCAAGUUCUCCCUGUGAAUAUCAAUCGUGUACGAAAGGAGACAUGGAAGCGAUAACUACAGAAGCAAAAAAAGAAGACAUCCCAAAUUUUCAAAAAAAUUGACGUAAUUCUACAGCCAAGAAGCUAUCGUUCACUUUGUAACCUGACUCAGAAACCCCCUAAAAUUGAGCGCCAAUUACCCGUUGGAAAAUGAAAAUCUAAAGUACCCGCAAGAGUUUGGAUUUGGGGUCAUCUUUCAAUUACAAUUCCUAACAUCAAAACCUAUGUAUUUCAGGAUUCUCUUUGGAUGAAAUAAAAGCUAUAGAAUAUCUAAAAUCGACAUUUUGUCGUCUAGUAUUGCCGUCGAGUUAUGAAGCAAAGCCAACAGAAUUUUAUAUACCUAGAAUCUCAUCAAGCUGGUCCGGAAACGACUACAAAUUUAAUGAUGCUCGAGAUCUACCGUGAUGAUGAUGAAAAGAUUACUCAACCAGAACAACGAAGAAUGAAAAAUUCACGACCAAAUAACUACCUAUAGCCUUUGAUGUGAGAACAUUGGCUCGAACAAUUCAGGUCUCCGAGUUCUGGACAGUUCGUAUUGAACGAGAAAAUUUCUUUUUGCUGUCAUCUACAGCCAAACGUUUGGAAUUAAUGAUUGGAGUUUCGAAUGCCUUGAUGACUCCCUGAUUAAAUAAAUCCAUAUCUUGGAGCAAUUUGCUUUUCCUUCUUUUGUCACGUUCGAAUAGUUCAAUUUUUAUGAAUCAUGUUCAAAUUCAUUGAGAAGUUAAUGCUGAUCAAGAUGUGAUAAAUCGUACAAAAAUGCUCGAAGAAUUAAAAAAUGAGAUAUUUAAAAGACAUGUCGAAGGCAUUACUAAAACCCAGAGACAUAAUUUAAAUCUGAACGAAUGGAAUAAUAUCUACAGAUGAAUCUUUCAAUCGUCUAUAUAUAUGACCGAAUCACCGUCUUUUCCUUUCGUCGAUCCCUUAAAAUGAAAAAUUUAAUGUAUGAAUAAAUAUUCCAUUCCGGUUAGAUUUAUUAGCCAUUCGUAUAGUGUGAAAGCAACUUUAAAAGAUACCAAGACUUUAAUAAGAAUUCUGAUGCUUGGAAUAAAUUUCGAUCAUGGCAUUUUCCAUAUCCUUCUGAUCAUCAACAGUCGAUAGAAUCCUGAAGCAUAUCGAAUCUACAAAUACUUCUGUAAUUUCACCUUUGAAUAUCAAUCGUGUACAAACGGAGACAUUGAAGCCAUAACUACAGAAGCAAAAAAAUAAGACAUUCGUUACAGUAAAUUCAGGAUGGAGGAAGGAAAAUGAACAACCAUUCCCAAAUUUUCAAAAAAAUUAACGUCCCUCAGGGCCUCAAUCACCUAAAUUAAUUCUAAAGCCAAGAAGUUAUCGUUCACUUUGUAACCUGACUCAGAAACCCCCUAAAAUUGAGCGCCAAUUACCGGUUGAAACAUGAAAAUCUAAAGUACGCGCAAGAUUUUGGUUUUUGGGUCAUCUGGUUUUGUUUACCAUCUACAUUAUUCGCAUCGCUUCCAAGCAGUCAAAGAAAAUUCCUGUUAGUAUUGUUGCUACGAUGUUUCCAUAUCUGCGAAUAAGAUCGAGAUGGUCACGAUCAACGGAGACCAAGUCAUUUACGUGAAAGUUGUGUUGCUCAAUCUUCAGCUUCUGAUAAGUAAACCUGCAGCAGUGAAGAGAAGUACUGUACGGAAAGGCGAAAAUAGUGUCAAAGAAAACAAUGAAAACAAUAACUUAUUUAUGAAGUGCUGUAAUGGACGAUUUUGAAACUACAAUUAUCGCACCUAAGGACGAAUUAUGUAGUUUUAAUUGCAUUGCCUUUUCUUCAACUACAGAAUACAAAAAUACGAACGUACAAUAAUUUCAUAACUUUUGGUAAUUUGAACGAAUCCACAACUUUGCCCAAGUCCAAGAUCAUCCUUGACUGCCAACCUGAACAAUGCCAAGGAACCCAUUCAAAUUACAAUUCCUAACAUCAAAGCCUAUGUAUUUCACAGCAUGCAUCUGUGAUUCUGGCGAGUCAAUUCGUUACAGUUAACAUUGGAAUAAUUCACCAAACAGGCUCAGCAGUUCGAACGAGCAUUUUAUUCAAUUAUUUAUCGCGCAAUCUGCAGACGAUGAAAUAAAACCUACAGAAUAUCAGAACUUGAAAUUUUAUCGUCUAGUAUCAUGUACAACGCAGUGAACUAUAAAUGAGAUAUUCGUAAUGCAUGACGUUAAAAAAUCACAGAAUACGAAAUCUCUGUGUAUGGAUUAACUUUAAUAAAUAGUCUGCUUCGAAUCAAACAGUAUACCAGAAACGGAGUUGAUCCCCUUGGCAAUUGCAGAGAUAUGUAUCUCAACAGUACACAUUGAAUUGAGAAAUGAAACAGUCUUCUAUGAUGAUUUCUUCAUUUUUUCGCAGUCGUUUUCUUUUUUUCAUUUUGAUCGAAUCAUGAAGCAACCAACGAAAUUUUAGAUCAUCAUCUAACUGGUCCAGAAAGGAUUUAUUUAGUUUGAUUGCAUCCAAAAAUGAUACUCCAGCUCUAUCGCGAUGAUGCAAAAGAUUUACUAAACUAUUCAGAACAACGAAGAAUGAAAAGUCCACGACUAAAUAACUAUAGCCUUUGAUGUGUGAAUAUUGGCUCGAACAAUUCAGGUCUCCAAGUUCUGGGCAGUUCGUAUUAGAACGAGAAAAUUUCGUUUCUAUCAUCUACAGCCAGAAGAAUGGGAUCAAUAAUUGGAGUUUCGAAUGCCUUGAUGACUCCCUGAUUAAAUAAAACGAUGUCUUGGAGCAAUUCUGGCGAUAAAGAAAGCUGUUUUGAUUAAAUACAAAUCUGAUGAAACCGUAAUAUUGUUGUGGAUCGAAUUAUUGAAUAUCUAAAGUCAACUGGUGACAUGACUAUUAAUCAAAAGAAACCAUAUCUCAUAUCAUAUCUUCAAUAUUACUUAUUGUUGUUCGACAAAUAUGCAACAUUAGGUUACCUUUUGCCAAAUAUGUGGGAUCCGCCCAGAUGAAGAGAUACUUAUUAAAUGAAGGGCUAAUUGUGAAAGUCGCCUUAGUCAGCAGUGAUUUUUGUACAAAUCAAUGAAAACGUUGUUGUCCUGCUUCAGUGAUAAUGUAAAAACUUCAUGGUCAAGUAUUAAAAAAACAUCUUCAACUAUUCCAGAAUGCAUUACAAUACUCAUUUUUCCCUUUAAAAUUGAUGAAAUGUGAAAAAAAAAAAUGUUUAAAGUUGUGUGAACAAAAAAAUGACUAAGGCGACUUUCACAAUUAGCCCUUCAAAUGUUACCUACAUAUGGAAAAGAACGACAAUCAACUAGGACGAAGGACAAAUUCCGAAAAUGAUAUGUUUUGUCCUCAACAACUACAGAGAUUAUUUAAAGCAACUUAAUAGGUAUGGAAAAAAAUUUCAGAACAAACUAGUAGACAAUAAUUGAAUACCCUUGUUACCCUUGUACAUACUUUUUAUUCAGCUCAAUCAUACUAAAUUGAAAAGUUAUUGGAAGAGUGUUUUUUUGUCUUAGUUACGUUUUAGACUCGAUUAAUUCAAACGAUUUUCAAAUGAGCUAAAGUACAUAUUAUGUAGCUCAUUUAAAUUAGCGAUUAUAAUCUCAGCAAGGCAAUAUCUACAUAAUAUAUGUAUUAUAUUGACCUGCUGAGAUUAUAAUACGUAGUUAGCUAAUUUUAGUUUAUUUUUUUUUUCAAAUCUGUUGUUACCUAUUGCCCUGUUUUCUCGUAAGCUAACUUUCUCGAUGUAUAAUGAUAAAUUUUGAGAUAUUGGAUUAACAUUUUUGUUUUUAUUUUUCUCAAUGCUUAGUCUGGUAAACCAGGUUAAAAAUUUAUACCUAUAAAUGCACCUAUUGCUAUUCCAGAAACUUUGUUAUUUGCAAUUGCAUGUGAUCUAGAGUACUAUGAAAGUAUUGUGAUAAAAUGAACUUUCAAAUUUUUUCAUAAGUUGUCUACAUUUUGUGUGUAUUUUUUUUUCAUAAAUAAAAUAAGACUGAAAUUUUACCAGA